GGGCCGCGGUGACGCAUUUCCGGCCUUUGUAGUUUAUCAUUCUUUGGGCUGCGGUUGUCAAGGAUUCAGAGCCGGUGUGAUCUGCGCCAGGUGGCAUCUCCUCUCACGGAUUCCUCGAACAAAUUCAGCAGACCAUGUUUCAAGCCAUGAUGAUCUCUUCCCUGGAUGAUUAUCAUAGCAUCCCUCUCUGCCUCCACUUAACCCCAAGGUCAUUGACACAGCGGCUAGAGUUAUGCUUUUGUGUUAAAUCCAUUGUUCAACUAGCUAUUACCUGAAGAAUCCAGGUGUGUUCCCACCUGCAAAAAUUUGCACUUGGCAGUUACCUUUGCAUGGAAGAGUCUUUCUCCAGAUAGCCAUGUGACUUGCUCCUCACUUCCUUCAGAUCUCGGGGUUUCCAGAAGAAAAGAUCAAGGGAGAAUUAUCAAGAAUAGAUUAUUUUUCUGAAUAGUUAAACCUUUGAUGGCCAUAACCUUGACCCUUCAGACUGCAGAGAUGCAGGAAGGACUUCUGGCAGUGAAGGUAAAGGAGGAAGAGGAGGAACAUUCCUGUGGGCCAGAAUCAGGCCUGUCAAGAAAUAACCCUCAUACCAGAGAGAUCUUUCGUAGACGCUUCAGGCAGUUCUGCUAUCAGGAGUCCCCUGGGCCCCGGGAGGCUCUUCAAAGACUCCAGGAGCUCUGCCAUCAGUGGCUGAGACCAGAGAUGCACACCAAGGAGCAGAUCCUAGAGCUGCUGGUGCUGGAGCAGUUCCUGACUAUCCUGCCCGAGGAGCUCCAGGCCUGGGUCAGACAGCACCGUCCUGUGAGUGGAGAGGAGGCAGUGACUGUGCUGGAGGAUUUGGAGAGAGAGCUGGAUGAACCAGGAGAGCAGGUCCUGAGCCAUGCUCAUGAACAGGAAGAGUUUGUAAAGGAGAAGGCAACUCCAGGAGCAGCUCAGGAGUCAUCAAAUGACCAAUUCCAAACCUUGGAAGAGCAACUUGGGUAUAAUUUGCGAGAGGUGUGCCCAGUUCAAGAGAUUGAUGGCAAGGCUGGGACUUGGAAUGUGGAGUUAGCCCCAAAGAGGGAGAUUUCUCAGGAAGUGAAAUCUCUUAUACAAGUUCUUGGAAAACAGAAUGGUAAUAUUACUCAGAUUCCUGAGUAUGGAGAUACCUGUGACCGUGAGGGCAGAUUGGAAAAGCAAAGGGUGAGCUCUUCAGUGGAGAGACCCUAUAUCUGUAGUGAAUGUGGAAAAAGCUUCACCCAGAAUUCCAUCCUUAUCGAGCACCAGAGAACACACACAGGUGAGAAGCCUUAUGAAUGUGAUGAGUGUGGGCGGGCCUUCAGCCAGAGGUCAGGCCUAUUCCAGCACCAGAGACUCCACACUGGGGAGAAGCGCUACCAGUGCAGUGUUUGUGGUAAAGCCUUCAGCCAGAAUGCCGGGCUUUUCCAUCACCUCAGAAUUCACACUGGGGAGAAGCCUUACCAGUGCAAUCAGUGCAAUAAGAGUUUUAGUCGACGUUCAGUCCUCAUUAAGCAUCAGAGAAUUCACACUGGAGAGAGACCUUAUGAAUGUGAAGAAUGUGGCAAGAACUUCAUUUACCAUUGCAACCUAAUCCAGCAUCGGAAAGUCCACCCAGUGGCUGAAUCAAGCUAGCUCCUUGGAACAGAUACUGUGUUUUCUGCAAAUUGAAAGUUUGUGGCAACCCUGCAUCAAGCAAGUCUGUCAACACCAUUUUUCCAACAUCAUGUGCACACUUCGUGUUUCUGUGUCACAUUUUGGCCUCCCUAUUCCCUGAGACACACAGUGUUGAAAUGAAACCAGUUAAUAACACUACAGUGGCCUCUCAGUGUUCACAUGAAAGGAAGAGUCUCACAUCUCUCUCUUUAAAUCAAAAGCUAGAAAUGAUUAAGCUUAGUGAGGAAGACAUGUUGAAAGCUGAGAUAGGUUGAAAGCGAGGCCUCUUGUACCAAACAGCCAGUUGUGAAUGCAAAGGAAAAGUUCUUGAAGGAAGUAAAACCACUCCACUGAACACAUGAGUGAUAAGAAAGCAAAACAGCUUUAUUGCUGAUACGGAGAAAGUUUGAGUGAUCUGGAAAGAAGAUCAAACCAGCCACAACAUGCCUUUAAGCCACAGCCUAAUCCACAGCAGGGUCCUAACUUUCUUCAAUUCUGUGACGGCUGAGAGAGAUGAGGAAGCUGCAGAAGAAAAGUUAGAAGCUAGCAGAGGUUGCUUCAUGAGGUUUAAAGAAAGAAGCUGUCUCCACAACAUAACAGUGCAAAGUGAAGCAGCAAAUGUUGGUGUAGACACUGCAGCAAGUUAUUCAGAAAACCUAGCUAAGAUAGUGGAUGAAGGUGGCUAUACUAAACAACAUAUUUUUAAUGUAGAUGAAACACUUUAUAUUGGAAGAAGAUACCAUCUUGGACUUCCAUAACUAGAGAGAAGUCAGUGCCUGGCUUCAAAGGACAGUCUGCCUUUCUUGAUAGGAGCUAAUGGAGCUGGUGACUUGAAGUUGAAGCCAAUGCUCAUUUACUAAGCUGAAAAUCCUAGAGUCCUUAAGGAUCAUGCUGGCUGGGCAUGCUGUAAUCCUAGCACAUUGAGAGGCCAAGUCAGGAGGAUUGCUGAGCCCAGGAGUUUGAGACUAGCCUGGGCAACAUGGAAAAACCCUGUCUCUACAAAAAAAUACAAAAAUUAGCUGGGUGUGGUGGCACACACCUGUGGUCCCAGCUACUAGGGAGGCUAAGGUGGGUAGAUUGCUUGAGCCUGGGAAGCAGAGGUUGCAGUGAGCCAAGAUUGUGCCACUGCACUCCAGCCUGGGUAACAGAGAAAGACCCUGUCUCAAACAAACACACAAACAAACAAAAAGAAUCAUGCUAAAUCUACUCUGUCUGUGCUCUAGAAAUGGAACAACAAAGCCUGGACGAUAGCACAUUUAUUUACAGCAUGGUUUACUGAAUAUUUUAAGCCCACUGUUGAGACCUACUGCUCAGAAGAAAAAAAGAUUCCUUUCGAAAUAUUACUGCUCAUUGACAAUGCACCGAGUCACUGAAGAGCUCUGAGGGAGAUGUGCAAAAAGGUUAAUAUUGUUUUCAUGCCUGCUAACACAGCUAACCAUUCCACAGCCCACAGAUCAAGGAGUAAUUUCAACUUUCAAGUCUUAUUAUUUAAGAAAUACAUUUUGUAAGGGUAUAGCUGCCAUAGAUAGUGAUUCCUCUGAUGGAUCUGAGUGAAGUACAUUGAAAACCUUCUGGAGAGGAUUCACAUUCUAGAUGCAAUUAAGAACAUUUGUGAUUCAUGGGAGGAGAUCAAAAUAUCAACAUGAACAGGAGUUUGGAAGAAGUUGAUUCCCAUCCUCAUGGAUGACUUUCACAGGUUCAAGACUUCAGUGGAGGAAAUAACUGUAGAUAUAGUGGAAAUAGCAAGAGAACUAGAAUUAGAAGUGUAGCCUGAAGAUGUGACAGAAUUGCUGCAUUCUUAUGAUAAAAUUUGAAUGGAUGAGAAGUUGCUUCUUAUGGAUGAGUAAAGAAAGUGGUUUCUUAGGAUGAAAUCUACUCCUGGGGAAGAUGCUGUGAAAUUGUUGAAAUAACAGCAAAGAAUUUAGAAUGUCACAUAAACUUGACUGAUAAAGCAGUGGCAGAGUUUGAGAGGAUUGACUCCAACUUUGAGAGUUCUGUGGGUAAAAUGCUAUUAAACAGCAUCACAUACCACAGAGAAAUAGUUCAUGAAAGGAAGAAUCAACUGAUGCAGCAAACUUCAGUGUUGUCAUGUUUUAAGAAAUUGCCACAGCCACCUGAGCCUUCAGCAGUUAUCACCCUAAUCAGCCAUGAGUCAGCAGACAUUAAGCCAUUCACUCUGAGUAAAUAUGUUCCAGUUUGGAGCUGAUCUCAACAAUGAUGUGUUAUGCCUUACCAUCAGCCUGAAGCAUACGCACUGCUGCAGUGAGCCAGUCUUCUGAGCUGUUUCACCCAGGAAUGCAUUCAGACCAACUGCAGAAGAACGAAAGAAGUGUCAAAUAGUUAAAGAAUCUAGCCCGCACAGAAAGGGAGCUUCUGGUCAGGAGUUCUUCAGAGAGGAUAUGGUGGGUAUUUACUUGGGCCUCAAGGGUCCAGCUUCAGGUUCUUUGCCAUCAGUGGUGGAGACCAGUGAUACACAGCAAGGAACACGUCUUGGAACUACUGAUCCUGACCAUCCUGCCCAAGAACUCCAGGCCUGGGUAUAGGAGCAUCCCAGAGUAUAGGAAAGAGGCUGUCUGUACUGAAGAACUUGGAGAGGAAGCUGAAUGAUCUGAGAGGAAAGGUAAAAUGAAGAAAUGUCUUGUCAGAUAGCAAGUAUUAUCUCCAGAGAGAGAUAAGAGAGUUGAGAUAACUUCUCUAGCGUAGUUAGAGAAAAUGGCUAACAUGUUAUUGGCCAGAGUUAUUUAUUUUUGUUCUAGUUUGGUGAGUUUUUUUUAACUUGUAGGCCCUGUGUAUUUUCCCCUCUUUGUCCGUUUAUCCCUGCCCUUGCAGAUGACAGAAAACUGCUUUCUGCCCUCCCAUUGUGUGUUCCACAGUAAUAAUGGGAUUUUAAGCUCUAACUUUCAGCAAAUGUCACCCUCAUUGAACUCCAUCUAAUUGUGCCCAGUUCCCCACCCUCCUACAGGGGACAAGAAGUGUCCCAACGCAAAUAGUGUAUCUGGCAGCCUCAUAGGACUCACCUGGAGUCCGGCUCCAGCCAGUAAAGGGUCAACUCAGCUCUGAAUGUUGGGAGUUUCACACUGUUAAGGAGAACGCUGAGGAGGAGAUAGCAAAGAAGAAGUUAGGAAAUGUUGGUGUCUUUUUGCAUUUUUCCAAAUGAACCUUGUCACUAAAAUCUCUGCAUACCUUUCAUUUAAUCUCUAUUGCCUAUUCCACUUUUAACCUGUUCCUCUAAGCAUACCACUUUAGCCUAGAUUAUGAUUCUUUUCUUUCUUCACUUCUUUGCCUUAAAAUUGUUUUUUUUAAAAAAUCCUGCUACUCAUGUUACCUUGCAUGGUUCAGUUUCUCCCUUCUAAUACUGCCAACUUCCUUAACCCAGACCUCUUAUCGCAAAGACAGGAGAAUGUUUUUCUAUAUUGAAGCCAAUAGAAAACUACUAAAAGGCUACAUGCAAUUAGUAAAUUUUUAAAUGUACAUUUUUUAAAUGAGUGUAGGAAACAUAAAACUUUAGUAGGUGCAUGCUUACUGGGAAAGCACGCAUGCAUGCUAAAAUGUCAUUAUACAGUACAUAUUGUUUACCACUUGUUUUUUAGUUUAAUAUUACAUUAUGGAUAUCUUUUCAAGUUACAUAUAAUACCUAUAUGUAGCUGACAUACAUUUCACUGCAAGGGUAUUGAAUUAUUUUGUAACUGGCCUUAGAGGGUUUUUACAUUGCUGCUUUUUUCUUUUUUUAAAUACUACCAACUAAAAGCCAUAAAUUCUUUUCUUUUUCUUUUUUUCUUCACUCUGUACUAUGAAAAAAGUUUAAGCAUAUAUAAAAGUACAAUUGUACUACUUCUAAUAAAUCCCCACAAACCUGUCACCCAGCUUCAACAUUAUCAGAUUAUGGCCAAUCUUGUUUCACUUACAACUCUACUCAUAUCCCAUGCUUUUAUAUAUAUAUAAUUUUAAAGCAUAUCUGAGCUAGCAUAGUCUUUCAAAUGUAAAUAUUUCAAUAUUUGCUGUAAAAGAUAUGAAUUUUAAAAAUGUAAACAUAAUACUAUUUUCAUACCUAAACAAUUAACAGUAAUUCCUUAAUAUCAAUUUUCCAGUUUUCUCAAAGAUGUCAUAAACUUUUUUUUGUUCAUUUUGUUUUUUAACUUAUUUGAAUCAAGAUCCAAGGAAGAAAACACAUUGUGAUGGGUUGAUAUGUCUCCUAAGUUUCUUUUAAUAUAUGGGUACCCUCUCCUGUUUUCUCUUCCAACUCACUUGUUAAAGAAAAUGAAGUUGUUUGUCCUGUAGAGUUGCACACAGCAUGGGUUUUGCUGUCUGCAGCAUGUGCUAUAGUCUAAGAUGUUCUGUUGUCCUCUGUAUUUUCUGUAAAUUGUAGUAAUGUACAGGCUUGAUCAAAAUCAAGUUUUAAGUUUUUUUGACCAGAUAAAUUUAAUGAAUUUGGCAAGAUGGUGUGUUCUAUUUGAAGCCUAUUAUUUUCUGUUUGUCUCUUUUUCUGUGGUGUUAGCAGCUAUUGAUCCUCAAUACCUAUAGCCAAUAAUCCAUUAGGGGUCCCAAAAUGGUGACAUUCUAAUUGUAUCCUUCUUUCUUCAUUUAAUAAAGCUGGAAUAGUUAUAUAAAGA